ACAAUUGUCCAAUUGAAUGCAAAUUAACCCAAUGGAAAAAUCAAUAUCUAACUAUCUUAAUCUCAAAACAAAAUCCACAAAAAGGAAUAUCAAGCCCUAAUGACUAAUCAAACUAUGGUCAAACAAUUAUGAAUCAAAUUCUAAAGAAAACGGAAUCAAAUUAACAUGAUGAUUAAACCUAAAUCAAACAAAUAAAUUUACAUUAAUUCCUAAUUAACCCUAAUCAUCCUAAUAUUCCUAAAACCAUGAAUUAACAUAAUCAAAGUCUUGAAGAUCUUAAUUCUAACAAUAACAAGAAAAUCAGAAUCAUGUUAAUCGACACAAAAUUAGCAAGAUUAAAAUAAAUUGAAAUCCUUAAGAAGGGAUUAAUGGGGGAUUAAGAAAGGUUAAUGGGCCAUGGGUGUAUGGUAACUAGAGAGAGUGUGCAAAAGAUUGCCUUUGGGCCCUGGAACUUUUCAUCCUUUGGCCCAAAUUCUCCAAGAAUUAUCCAAGAAUCGGUUUUAACAGGAAAAAGCCAAGGACUGUGUCAACGCAACAACACCUUUAGUAACCCAGGGAACGAAAUUUUUACGAAGACUUACAGAAACGUCGCGAAGCAACUCGCACUUCAACCACACACACCCUCUCCGUCACCGCAUCGUUGCUAGAAAAAUGGGAUCCGCUUCGAUUCUGCUUCGAUUUGAAUUCAAGAAUGGCUUCCUAUUCUGUCUGACUGAGACGAGGAUGAAGAACUUCGUGUUCGCCAUUGUGGAUUGAGAUGAAGAGAGCGGAAUAAUUGUUGGUCUAUGAAGGUGUUGUUGCGUUGCCGACGAAGAGAAUGAAUCAACGAAGAAUCCAGAGUAAUUUCCGCGAGAUCUCGAACGAAUCUGUAUCCGAUCCGAAGUCCGGCCAAAUCGUAAGCUCCGAUGAUCCUUCUUCUUCUUCUUCUUCUCGUUCUUAGUUUGUUUCUCUGAAUUCUGUGAAACUCUUUUGGCUAUGGAGUUGUGGUUUUUGGUUUUUGCUACCUCUUCAAUCUCUCUUUCUGUUUCAUUCUAUGAAGGUUGUGUGUAGUUAAAAUGGUGAGUGAAGAUUGGUGAGGUUUGAAUGGUUCAAAGUUGACGGAAGGUUUGGUGAUUUGUGAAGUGGAGAUUUUGAGGAGGGUUGUUGAAUGAUGGUGAAGAUGAUGGAGUGAAGUUGGGGGUUCUGUUAAGGGUGGUCUUAUUGAAGGUUGGGGCGUCAAGAAGCUGUUGUGGGCGUGAGGCUCCGUUAGCCGGUUUUCAGAAGAAAAAAUAGUUAUUUUAACUUUCCGUUCCAUCCCCUUUUUUUCUAUUGGAGUUUGUUAUGAGAAGUAAAUCAGCUCGGUUUUGGGAGGUUUUCUUUGUAGGGUAUUCAAGGAUUGGUUUUGUCAUGUGGAGAGCGAUUGGAGGUCCUUUUUCUUUCAAUGUCAGUUGGAAAUCCUGAGUUAGAGUGUGGAUUUGGUUAGUGUCGUGAGGUUGUAACGGUCGGGAUUCAGUUAUCCUUUCUGUCGGAGGUUAGAAUUUGUUUUUUGAAGACACUCUGCUAGUUAUCAAUGUCAGUUACAAUGUGAUUGCAAUUUUACUGGACAUUCUGUUAGGGAGGUUAGAAAUCCGUACAGGUCAUUGAAGGGUUAUUUUGAAUCGGUUAGAGAAGGGUUAGUUUGUUAGUUGUGUAGAAGUUUGUUGGAAGGUUUAUUGAAUUGGUUGAAAUUGUGUACAUUGGUUUUUCUCUGCUGCAGGUCUUUGAAUGCUAUAAAUUAGAAGGAACUUGGAAUUCUGCCGGUUUUUCUCAAAGUUGGUUCUCAGUUUGGAAGUCAAGAGAUUUUGUUCAAUCUUUUGUGUGAGCAGAUAACUUUUUGGAGUUUAUUUCUCUAUUUCAAUUGUGAUGCAGGGUCAUUGGUUUUAUGUUUUUUCUAUUAUGCUCCCAUUGAGAGGUUUUAUGUUUUUUCUAUUAUGCUCCCAUUGAGAGCUUUUUCUUCCAAUAGUGUAGAAGUAUCUAUUUAAAUCGUUCACUGACACAACACGAGGUGAAUCUAUAUCUAUAUAGGAGUAGCUUGCAACUGGUUGAAUAUGAAGUCAUGACUCACAUAUAGUAAUAAGUAGUAGUAUCUAAAAGCAGUACACGCUGACACGUGAAAGCAGAUGUUGAAUAUGAAGUCAUGACUCAUAUAUAUCCAAAAAGCAGUAGAGACACGUGAAAGCAUUACACUGCACUUUAGUUCACUGACACUGACACUAAAACAGUAAGGCAAGAAAACACUAUUUAUAGGACACUACUUAGGGUUAAAGAGUAUUGAAACAGUAAGACUAUUUAAAGGACACCACUGGCACUUAGUGUUAAAAGAGAAACAGUAAGGCAAGAAAACACUAUUUAUAGGACACUACUUAGUGUUAAAGAGUAUUGAAACAGUAAGACUAUUUAAAGGACACCACUGGCACUUAGUGUUAAAAGAGAGUAAAAUACUUCCACUUAUUAAGCCAGUAUGACAUUGAACCAUAUCACAGGAUCCCACAUCACAUCUCUUUUCCCUUCUUCUCUGUAAGAUUAUCAGCAUUGUCCAAAGGGAAAUCGGUUUUCAUUAACUCCCAUUGAAUCACACCCUCUUUCACUUUUGAAAAUGAUGAUGAUCCUUGACCUCUAAGAAAAUUACUUGCCAUUACAUCCAGCUUCUUUGAUAUACCUCUCAAUUCUUCAUAAUCAUCAUCUCUUUCCAGCAUUUUUCUUUUCAGUUUUAGUUGGAACUCCUGCUUUCUUUUUUCCUUUUUCUUUUUUCUUCUUUUUUCCAUCAUCUUCAGCAAAGAGAUAUUCAAAAACCAAACUUUGGUUCUCCCAAGUGUGGUAAUCAACCAAAACAGUCGAUGGAACUUUUAUUGUGCCCUCACAUUCUUCAUUCAACUCAAUCCUAAUGAGUUUGUUACCUAAUCUUUGAAGGCAAUUCAAAAUAUAACUCACCUUUUUCCCCAAGGUGAUUCCCUCGAUAAAUCCCUUUUUUAGUCGCAUAAUAAUUUCUUUCGGAUGGUAAAUAGUCUUCCACCUUUGCAGAGUAGAGAAUCUCUUCUGCUAUCUUAUCAGUGACUUGGUUAUUAAGAUUCAAGAAACACAUGGUGAAAACCAGUCAGUUUACAAAAUUAGAAUGUGUGACAGUUCCUUUUGAGUGUGAGAUCAAAGAAGUUAUAUUCUUCAUGGAAUGCUCAUUCACUGUGAAGUACCUUAUAAAAUCAAUCAGGAAACUAUUGAUUUCUUUC
rnacentral:lncRNA from 1 species